rnacentral:lncRNA from 1 species
GCGGAGGGGCAGCCNCCGGACGCCUGCUUGGAGGAAAGGAGGAGCAGCCAAGGACUGCAGGGGCCUGGUGGAGGGAGGAGGGCGCAGCACCCAGCGCCAGCGUGUCUCAGCGGCUGCUCCNUCUGCCCCCUUGGCUGCAGACCCCGCAGAAGAGGCUACUGGGCCCGCAGGAGGAGGGCGACCCGGCCACCAAGGCAACGCGACCCCCCCGAAGCCACGUCUGAAGCAGGAUCCUAUCGACUGAACAGAAGACAUUACGAUCCNUCGCUUUGGGCACCCCGAGAACCCAGGCAUAUGGAUCUGGGGUGCAGAGGCAAGUAUCCAUAUUGGUUCUGCCUGGGGUCUCCCGCAAGGAACAACAGAAACGUGCACCUCACCUUCGGUCGCAGGGCAAAGCUCUGGAACCACAGAUCCCACCCGGCUGGCACGCACCAAGGCCGCAGACCCAAGGCACAGGCCCCCGAGGAGCUUCCGCGCGAGACCCACCACAAGCCGCCCGCCCUCCUUGGAGCGCCCCUAGUCUGUGGCUCCUUCGUCCCUAGGCAUCGCAUCGGGGCGCUCUGCCCCCUCUGUGCUUGGUAGCCGUGGAACUGGCGGCGACUCUGAUGAUUUGCUUCAUGGCAGCAGCGCGGNGGCAGCAGCUCCUUGCCCCCCCCUUUCGUGACUAUGUCUGCCUGCUAUAGCGUCCCCCAUGGAAACAGCAUCUCCUCCCCCCCACCGUCAGAUCCCGGCCGAGGUCUCUCCGGAAGAAGCAGCCUGCGUGCCCCGCUCGGGCGCCCCAGCCUCCCUGUUCCUGCGACCGCGAGAGGCAUGGCGGGCCCCGUGUCGGAUGUGUCUUGGGAUGCUGCGGGAAGGUGUGGUUCUGCGCAGGGCGGAAGAAAGGGCAGCAGCAUCCCCAGCGAGAGCCACUGGACUGUUGUG